rnacentral:rRNA from 1 species
GAUGAACGCUAGCUACAGGCUUAACACAUGCAAGCCGAGGGGAAACGACAUCGAAAGCUUGCUUUUGAUGGGCGUCGACCGGCGCACGGGUGAGUAACGCGUAUCCAACCUGCCCACCACUUUGGGAUAACCUUGCGAAAGUAAGACUAAUACCCAAUGAUAUCUCUAGAAGACAUCUGAAGGAGAUUAAAGAUUUAUCGGUGAUGGAUGGGGAUGCGUCUGAGUAGCUUGUUGGCGGGGUAACGGCCCACCAAGGCGACGAUCAGUAGGGGUUCUGAGAGGAAGGUCCCCCACAUUGGAACUGAGACACGGUCCAAACUCCUACGGGAGGCAGCAGUGAGGAAUAUUGGUCAAUGGGCGAGAGCCUGAACCAGCCAAGUAGCGUGCAGGAUGACGGCCCUAUGGGUUGUAAACUGCUUUUAUAAGGGAAUAAAGUGAGUCUCGUGAGACUUUUUGCAUGUACCUUAUGAAUAAGGACCGGCUAAUUCCGUGCCAGCAGCCGCCGUAA